rnacentral:rRNA from 1 species
UGGUGGAGCGAUUUGUCUGGUUAAUUCCGAUAACGAACGAGACUCUAGCCUAUUAAAUAGUUCGCCGAUCACUCGCGGUCGGCGUCGACUUCUUAGAGGGACUAGUGGCAAACAAGCCACACGAGAUUGAGCAAUAACA